AGAGUUUGAUCCUGGCUCAGGACGAACGCUGGCGGCACGCUUAACACAUGCAAGUCGAACGAGAGAAGAGGAGCUUGCUUUUCUGAUCUAGUGGCGGACGGGUGAGUAACACGUGAGCAAUCUGCCUUUCAGAGGGGGAUACCGAUUGGAAACGAUCGUUAAUACCGCAUAACAUAAUUGAACCGCAUGAUUUGAUUAUCAAAGAUUUAUCGCUGAAAGAUGAGCUCGCGUCUGAUUAGCUAGUUGGUAAGGUAACGGCUUACCAAGGCGACGAACAGUAGCAGGACUGAGAGGUUGAUCGGCCACAUUGGGACUGAGACACGGCCCAGACUCCUACGGGAGGCAGCAGUGGGGGAUAUUGCACAAUGGAGGAAACUCUGAUGCAGCGAUGCCGCGUGAGGGAAGAAGGUUUUAGGAUUGUAAACCUCUGUCUUCAGGGACGAAAAAAGACGGUACCUGAGGAGGAAGCUCCGGCUAACUACGUGCCAGCAGCCGCGGUAAUACGCAGGGAGCGAGCGUUAUCCGGAAUUACUGGGUGUAAAGGGAGCGUAGGCGGGAUCGCAAGUCAGAUGUGAAAACUAUGGGCUUAACCCAUAAACUGCAUUUGAAACUGUGGUUCUUGAGUGAAGUAGAGGUAAGCGGAAUUCCUAGUGUAGCGGUGAAAUGCGUAGAUAUUAGGAGGAACAUCAGUGGCGAAGGCGGCUUACUGGGCUUUAACUGACGCUGAGGCUCGAAAGCGUGGGGAGCAAACAGGAUUAGAUACCCUGGUAGUCCACGCCGUAAACGAUGAUUACUAGGUGUGGGGGGACUGACCCCUUCCGUGCCGCAGCAAACGCAAUAAGUAAUCCACCUGGGGAGUACGACCGCAAGGUUGAAACUCAAAGGAAUUGACGGGGGCCCGCACAAGCAGUGGAGUAUGUGGAUUAAUUCGAAGCAACGCGAAGAACCUUACCAGGUCUUGACAUCGUAUGCAUAGCUCAGAGAUGAGUGAAAUCUCUUCGGAGACAUAUAGACAGGUGGUGCAUGGUUGUCGUCAGCUCGUGUCGUGAGAUGUUGGGUUAAGUCCCGCAACGAGCGCAACCCUUACUGUUAGUUGCUACGCAAGAGCACUCUAGCAGGACUGCCGUUGACAAAACGGAGGAAGGUGGGGAUGACGUCAAAUCAUCAUGCCCCUUAUGACCUGGGCCUCACACGUACUACAAUGGCUGUCAACAGAGGGAAGCAAAGCCGCGAGGUGGAGCGAACCCCUAAAAGCAGUCUUAGUUCGGAUUGUAGGCUGCAACCCGCCUACAUGAAGUCGGAAUUGCUAGUAAUCGCAGAUCAGCAUGCUGCGGUGAAUACGUUCCCGGGCCUUGUACACACCGCCCGUCACGCCAUGGGAGUCGGUAACACCCGAAGCCUGUAGUCUAACCGCAAGGAGGACGCAGUCGAAGGUGGGAUUGAUGACUGGGGUGAAGUCGAAACAAGGUA
rnacentral:rRNA from 1 species